rnacentral:lncRNA from 1 species
UUUUUCUCCUUUACGUUUCCAUAAAUUUCUCUUUUUUUCCUCCCUUCUCUCCUCCUUCUAAUUGAUUUCUCCUAGUGUUUCAAUAUAAGAAAUUUUUUUCCUCAAUUUUUAACCCUUAAAUUCUCUUAGAUAUAUUUGUAUUGGCUGCUUUACCAACCAAUUCUUGAUUGGAAUCUCAGAAGGCUAUCUCUCAUUGCCAUCUUUUCCUACAAGGGAUGAGAAUGUGGCUACCGAAGAUAUCUUUAUAAUCAAGUCCGGCACACCGAGUAUCACUACUUUGUUUGGAGCUCAAAAAUACUGUUGUCAUUAAUAGUGGUGGUAGUGGUGACCCAAUAGAAGAAGGUUCUUCUAGUAAGUAACAUCACCGACUUGGCGAUCAGAAGAGUUGCGGCAUAUGAGAGAAGAGGAUCAAAGGAGGAGAGGAAGG